rnacentral:snRNA from 1 species
GUGCUCGCUUUAGCAGCACAUAUACCAAAGUUGGAACAAUACAGAGAAGAUUAGCAUGGCCCCUGUGUAAACUAUUGCAACAUAUUACUUUUUU